UACGUAGGGUGCAAGCGUUGUCCGGAAUUAUUGGGCGUAAAGAGCUCGUAGGCGGUCUGUCGCGUCGGCUGUGAAAACUCGGGGCUCAACCCCGAGCCUGCAGUCGAUACGGGCAGACUAGAGUGCUGUAGGGGAGACUGGAAUUCCUGGUGUAGCGGUGAAAUGCGCAGAUAUCAGGAGGAACACCAGCGGCGAAGGCGGUGCUCUGGGCCGGAACUGACACUGAGGAGCGAAAGCGUGGGUAGCAAACAGG
rnacentral:rRNA from 1 species